AGUGAACGCUGGCGGUAGGCCUAACACAUGCAAGUCGAACGGCAGCACAGUAAGAGCUUGCUCUUACGGGUGGCGCGUGGCGGACGGGUGAGGAAUACAUCGGAAUCUACUUUUUCGUGGGGGAUAACGUAGGGAAACUUACGCUAAUACCGCAUACGACCUACGGGUGAAAGCAGGGGAUCUUCGGACCUUGCGCGAUUGAAUGAGCCGAUGACGGAUUGGCUAGUUGGCGGGGUAAAGGCCCACCACGGCGACGAUCCGUAGCUGGUCUGAGAGGAUGAGCGGCCAAACUGGAACUGAGAAACGGUCCAGACGCCUACGGGAGGCAGCAGUGGGGAAUAUUGGACAAUGGGCGCAAGCCUGAUCCAGCCAUACCGCGUGGGUGAAGAAGGCCUUCGGGUUGUAAAGCCCUUUUGUUGGGAAAGAAAAGCAGCAGGUUAAUACCCCGCUGUUCUGACGGUACCCAAAGAAUAAGCACCGGCUAACUUCGUG
rnacentral:rRNA from 1 species